rnacentral:tRNA from 1 species
GCCGUCCUAGCUCAGUGGUAGAGUGCAUGGCUUUUAACCACGUGGUCGUGGGUUUCAAACCCACGGACGGCC